GGGCAGGACCACUGCAAGGGUAGGGUGCUGAACCCCGCCAGGCCCGAAAGGGAGCAACGGUAGGCACCUGAACCCUGUGCCGGUGGUAUCCUGCUCCAU
rnacentral:SRP_RNA from 1 species